GAUAAACGCUGGCGGCGUGCUUAACACAUGCAAGUCGAGCGGAAAGGCCCUUCGGGGUACUCGAGCGGCGAACGGGUGAGUAACACGUGGGUAACCUGCCCCUUGCUCUGGGAUAACUCCGGGAAACCGGGGCUAAUACCGGAUAUGACCCUUGAAGGCAUCUUUGGGGGUGGACAGUUUUUCGGCAAGGGAUGGACCCGCGGCCUAUCAGCUUGUUGGUGGGGUGAUGGCCGACCAAGGCGGUGACGGGUAGCCGGCCUGAGAGGGCGACCGGCCACACUGGGACUGAGACACGGCCCAGACUCCUACGGGAGGCAGCAGUGGGGAAUAUUGCGCAAUGGGCGGAAGCCUGACGCAGCGACGCCGCGUGAGGGAUGACGGCCUUCGGGUUGUAAACCUCUUUCAGCAGGGACGAAGCGAGAGUGACGGUACCUGCAGAAGAAGCACCGGCCAACUACGUGCCAGCCGCCGCAGUAA
rnacentral:rRNA from 1 species